GCCCCAUCCCCUCACUUGAGGGCGACGCCCUUUGGGGAGGCGCCCUUUUAGGACGUCAGCACGGCAGCCUGGAACCCAGCAUUGUGAGGGGCGUGGCCUGAAGGAGCCGUUACCCUCGUGACCACUGUCUGGGUUGCCCAGACUAGCUGCGGGCGUAGAGAGGGAAAGGUGUGCGCGAAGAGAAGAAACCGAGACGGCUUGUGGCACCCUAGCCCCCGGCCCCCUGGGGGCUGAUGGCUGUCCAUGGACCGGUACCUCAAUAACUGCUACAAGGCUGCCCAGGCCGCCGCCUCUAAGGAGGCCGCCAGCAGCCUAACUGCCAACAGGGAGCUCUGUGACUCUGCGAGUGGAGGCCAGUCGGGCACACACAAAGACCCCAUCCCAGAGGUCGGAGCCGCUAAGCUAUUGGAUCUUCCUCUUUCGGUCAAGCUUCCGGUUAUUCCAGGAAGUAAUGUAUUCUAUACUACAAAUUUAAGUGAAAAGCUUUAUCAACCUUCUUAUGACUUUAACCUGUCUGAUCCGUAUUGUCAACUUUUGGAAACUGGCUAUAAAAACCUGCACCAUCCACAUUUAAAAUCGUACUAUAGGGGAAAAGAUAUCCCGAGGAGAUUAAAGAAAGGCGGCUAUGUCACCAGCAAUAAUAAGGUUUUAUGCACCUUGAACAAAUUGAAUAAGUACAGGCAGUAUCUCACCAGUUUGAAAUUAGACUUUGAAAGAAACUAUGUAAGAGAACAAAAAAUGAUUGAAAAACAAGUAAAUAAAUUGUAUGAAACCAAGAGAGCCUGUGACAGUCAUGGCAGUACACAGUUCCAAGAUUUGCUGUUACAAGAAAAUAAACAAACAACUCCAGACCAAGAGCUGUUGAUAAAGCAAAGAUAUUUAGAUAUGAUUAGCUUGGAAUUAAACAAGCUUGAACACAUGGCAGAAAAGCAGAAUGUACUCUGGAUAAAGGAAGAAGAAAGACUACAUCGGGACCACAUUAGAAGAAAACUUAGUCUCCGGAGACAAAUUGAAGAGAAAUGGAAAACAAAUGAAAUGUUACUUCUGUCAAAGAUUGGAGAAGAAGUAAAAAGAGAAUCAAGACUUGAAGAACAACGUAAAAAAGUCAAAGAAGAUGCUCACCGUAAGAAAAAAGCACAACUCAAGAAAAAAAUCACUUAUCAUUUACCAAAAAUGCAAAGGAAUGACCUUCAGAGAGAAGGAUCAGAAGAAAAUGUAUUUGAAAACAGAAGUCAAGAUGAAACAGAAGGUGAGAGAGAAACAAUAAAAGACAAAGCUUCUUAUCCAAAGAUCAAGAAAAUGAGUGUCACUGCCGGUCACCAGAAGUCACACCAAGGACAAAAAAGACCAUCCCAGCAUUUGUAUAGUUCUGUAAAGACUCCCGAAAGAAGAUCAACCUUGUUGCAUUCUCCACAUGAUGUAAAGAGUAACACAACAGAACAAAAGAAAGAUAGAGAAACCAUUAGGACAUCAUAUCCUUCAAAUGAUGGAGAAAUUACUACACUUCAGAGUCCAGGUGUUUCUGCGAAAACACCAAGUAUCUGUAGAUACUGUCUACAGGAUACUUCAAAACAACAGGUGACACGUGCUGAUUUGAAUGGGGAAAAGGCCAAGAAAUCAAGCUUAAACUAUGAGCCAGCUCCCGGAGUCUCCUUCAUUCACGACUCACCCAUUAGACAAGACUACCAUCCAAAUCGCUGUCAAGAGAAAGUAACUUCUGAAGAACUGAACAGUAGAAUUCAAAAUGUCAUGACCUGGGUCGUGGCUGCAGUGACCAGUGUAUUAUACCCAGCCAUCACAAAAUAUGAAGAAAGAUUGCAAAAUAUUACAUGCCCAAUGCCUGAUAACUCCACCCUCUCUUCUGAUAGUGCGAGUUGCUGCAGCUCAUGCUGUGAGACAUUUCUGUAUGAAACAAGUAAGAUGGUUCAGGCGGAGCCCUGUACAGAGGCAGCUGACAGGUCAAUAGAGCAGCCAGUGGCCCCAUCAAAAUCAUCUCUUGCCCGUAAAGAAAGAACAGAUGUAGAAACAACAUAUCACAGGAAAGAACACUUGGAAGACAAACCUAAAGCCCCCAAACCUGAAUAUAAUGAGAUAUCUGAAUCCGCCAACCUUAAAACCUGUAAAUCCGAUAGUCACCUUGUUGUACGGAUUGAAACAGGCACUAGGAAAUGUAAAGAUGAAACAGAUAGCCUAGAAUGCCCACUGUCUUCAGAUGAAAAAGCAAAAGCUAUCAAUGAGAUGCAGGAGUUAAAUAAUGUUUAUGUUAACUUUAAACAUCAUCUAAAAGAGGAAGCUGAGUUGAUUUUAAGAAACGUUUUUCAGGAAAUGGUGUCUGAACUAACCCAGACCAUCCCCACCCUUUCCUCUGUUACGACCGAACCUUUGCCUGCCCAAACUGACACGGACAAAGGAGACUUGCUCUCCAAUGUUGAUAUUUCCUCAGCAGCUGCUGAAAUUAUGGAAAAUGUGCUUGGGAAGUUACAGUCUGCAGUUAAGAAAACAUGUACUGAGGAAUUUUCACCAGGAAAUGUAUCAGUUCACUUUAAAUCAGAUUAAGUCAGUGGAGAACAUUUUAUUUCUCCAAAAGAAAAAACUUCAGAAGUUUCACUGCCUUAUGCUUUGGAGAACAUGAAUGAUGUUGCAGAGGACAUGGUUCGUGUGAUUUUAGAAAAGCUGACGGUCCUUGCAUCUGCUAAGCAAAGUGAAUUGGCUCAUCUUAAAAUCACUACUGACCCAGCUUAUCAGCAACACAGAGAAGACCCAACGUAUACGUUCCUUCAAAGAGCCAGCAAACGGAAAUCCAGUGCUAAGACCGAUGCUCCCAGUUUGAUUGCAAAGAAGAAAUACAAAAUUUAGUCUCAACUAUUUGUUCCAAGUCCUCUCUGGUUGGUUAUAUAAAGGAAGCAGUCAGCACUAUACUAGGUUAUAUACAAGUUGGACUUCAUAAUGAAAGGCUAGUUGCAACUGAAGAAACAGUGAUCAUCCUACAGCUACUUGAUGCUCUCUUGGCUCAGCUGCAUCAGAAACCAGUGAAAACAGAUGUCCGAAAGAGCAGACACUCCAGAAUAAGCAGUCCCUCUGGCACUGAAGAAAGGAACAGACUCACCAGGACUGGAGUAGCUAGUGCUCCUAGGUAUGGGAGCCUGUUUCCACCUGUUAAUGUUCCUGGUGUGGCCCUUUAUUCUGAAGACAAAAAUGAAGAAAGAGACAGAAUUGUAGAAAAUGUAUUGAUUUCAUCUGUCAAAGACGAAAAAGCAAAAUUACAAGAACAGGUUCCUGACUACUGGUUAACUGGAGAAAACAAUGAUUUUAAACGCAGAAGAAAUAUGAACUUACCUACAAAGCCUGCUUAUGGACGCAAAGGAGCAUUUCACGAUCAGGGAUUAAAUACUGACUUUCCAGCUUUUAAUAAGGACCCUUUAAAGGACAAGCCAAGUUGGAAUAAAGACAUUUUGCUUUUCAGUCAAGAUGAAACAUAUCAAAUACAAAAAGCCUCAGAAGAUAUAUAAUUAGGAGUAUUUUAGCAAAGAUGCUCAAAGAUCUAUCUUCUGGGCCAUCUGAUCGCUCAGAUUAUGAAGAUGGUAGAGAGGCUUCACUUCUUACCUCAAGAGAACCACAGGAUCCAUCACAUCAAGAAUGGAUGGACCAGAUGUCCUCUGUGUCAGAAAUCCAUACGGUAUCUCAAGAUACUGUAGAUGCUAUAUUAAAAAUACUUCACGUAACUUCUUGUCAUAUUAUCGAACAUUCUUCAUCAGUACAUCAAACUCCUCUAGAUAAUGCUGAUGUACCAAACAAAGAGUUAUUACAAAUAUGGUUUGACAGUAAAAGGAAGAUGAAAAUUUUAUCUGCACUUAGCGUGGACCCUACAAAACUUUCCUGGGUAGAAUCUGGAACAAGUGGCUCAACAUCAGAAUCUGUAGAUAACCUUAAUGAUAAAACCAUUAGCACAAUUUUUAAGAAGUUGAACUCAUUUAUUUGUCCAAAAUUACAAACCUGCUUCAAACCAGAAAGCCAUGCUGCCCAUUCAAAGCCUGCUCCUGACAAGAAAUCUUCAUUUCGAUCUCACCUUAGUACUUUCACAACUAAAGUGGUAAAAAUUGUUUUGGGUGCUAUCCAGAAAGAACUACGACACAAUAAGAAAAAUCUAAAUGUUAGGAAGAAUAGCCCUCCCAAGAACUUUAGAGAUACAGGAUUUUUUGCUGACGCCGAAAAUGAAUUAGACUCUGUUGUCACAAAGCUAAAUAAUGACAUUAUGACAAGUUCAUUAGCUACUUGCAUUUGUGAGGUGUUAAGUGGAAACACAGAUAAAAGUAAUAUUUUACUCCCUUCAGAUAAGCUAAGGUCUAAAAUCUCACAUGGGACUGAUGGCAUUGAUCAACAAAAACUUUUGCCUUCUCAUUGCCCUCGCAUGCAGAAGGAAGUUCACCAAUGUACUAGAUUUCAAGUGUUAGGUAGAAUUGGAGAUGCCUUGUAUGGUAUGUUAUGCAAGCUCACUGGAGACCACCCACAUGCUCCCCUAUCUGAUGAGCAAAAUACAGAGGGGAUCAAUAAGAAUUUGAGAACAACCAGUACACUGCAGUCCAGUAUUAAGCUCAUUUCUCGUACAAUUCUAGAAGGUAUUGUUUGAAAACUAUGUGGUGUUGAGACAGAUGGCAUUUUCAAAAAUUCAGAAUUUAAAGCUAUCUCAGAGCGUAUUGACACUGACAGCCUGUCAUUUGCUUUGCUUCUUGAGGAAAUGAGCAGAUGCUAUGACAUAAUCUCAAGCAUAGCAUCCAAUGUGACCUGGCCAGGUAGCCAAGAGAUAACUAACAAGGGGAAAACUACAGGUAGCCAAGAGAUAACUAACAAGGGGAAAACUACUGCCCCCAAAAUAGGAACCAGAAAAGAAAAGCAUCUGAAUAAACUGAAAACCUUGGCCUCGGACAUCUUUGAAAUGGUUUUUGCUAAGUUGGAAGGGUUUGCCAAUAGAAAUUUGGAAAAUCUUGGUGCUAUAAUCUGUGGAUAUAAAAAGAACAAGACAUACUGUGAAAGUGAAAAUACCAACAUUUGUGGUAACACACAUGAAAAACGAUUGCAGUCGACUUUAUACAGGCAUGCAAAGAAAGUGUCAAGUACUAUUUUGAAAGCUCUUCAAACUGAAUUAAACAUGAACUUGCCAGAUUUGGAAACAUGUAUAAGUAAGCCACUACAAGAGAAACAAAUACUUAAGAGUUUAGUCAAUUUCAUUUUAGAUGCAGUGUCUCCAGAUAUGUUUAACGAACCUGAACCAGAAGAGAGAGGCAUUGAAAAUUACAGAUAUAGGCCAAUCUAUGGAAAUUUUCUUCCUGGAGGAGCUGACCCAGAUUCAUAUCUAGAAGAUCCUGCAGAUACAGAGAAAGAAAGUGCUGUGGAGGAAAGACCAGCAGAAGAUGAAACUAAAUCCGAUUCUCUUAAGCAACAGGAACUAGAAAAAAACACUAAAAACUUUUGAAGUGGAACUCAAAGAGCCAAAAAAGUCCCCAGUUGUGCCCAUUGUAAGAAAUACUUUGAAUGAAAUUUUUCACAAUGAUUUAAUUGGUCAGUUAAAGGUGUUUACUCUUCCCCAGUCCCAUUUAUGUGACAUUCCUCAUGCUGAAGAUGAACCAUUUGCUCAAACAUCUGUUCAGUCCCUGGAGAAAACAGUGGGCCCUUUAGUAUCUGAAGCAGAUGUAACCAUUGUUGCAGAUGGUGUCGUUAGAACCAUAUUUCAAAAACUUUAUUCUGCUGCCAUGACAGAUAGAAAUGAAAGUGAAAAUAGGUAUAAUACUAUCACCUUUCCAGCAGAUAAUCUCUUUUCCUAAACCUACCCAUGGAGGAAAGUCCCCUGUUUAUUCUACCAUACUGGAUAGAAAUCCACGCACAUUUCAGUCCACUUUCAAUAUUGGUAAACUGACCAAAAUAAAUGUAGUUGAAGAUAUUAUACAGUCAAUAUUAACAAAUUUAGAAGCAUUUGCUACUUCCACAGUAAAGGCUCUCUUUUGUCCUCACAUCAUUUUCACAGUUCCUGUGGCUUUACCUUCACAGCAGGAUGAGAUUGCUUUACAACAACCAUGGUUAUCCACCAAAGAUUCAUAUUCUGAAGACCAAUUUUCUUGUUGCUCAAUGGAUCACAGUAAAUCCGGAAAGACCGCCUCGAUAUGUCAACUGAGUGCCUCUAAAUUAAAUAUGUAUGCAACAGAAGUGGCUAGACAAAUUUUACAAGGAAUCAAACAUAAAUUAGAUCAAGACAUAAGAAGUCCAUUCUUAACUCAGAGUGUUGUGGCCUUUGAAAGUAUUCCAAGUCAGGUUGUUAGCACAGUGCUAGAUACUGUGUCUACUAAAGGCAAAUAUGAAAAAAAUGUAUUUGACAGAGAGACUGAUCCAGUUGCACCAGAAGAUAUUAUUGAAAAGCUAUUCAAUAAAAGUGAUUAUCGUAAAAGAACUUCAAUUUCAAGUACUAGAUACCAUUGAAGGUAUCUUAAUUGAUAUCUGUGAGGAAACAAUAGAUGAGAAUAAUCUCCCACUUGCUGUAUCCACUCUUAAAUGUAAUGUAAGUGGGAGACAUUUAGAAACAAACUCUGAAAGGGACCCUAGGUAUACAAAUAAGGCUAUUCUUACACUUUUAGUUCCUAAGGAGCGCGUUGCUAUGAUUUCCAAUGAUAUGGUGGAUAUUGUUCUUUAAAAUCUCACUUCUGCUAUCAUGGUUCGCAUCAGUGCAAAUGAUUCCAUUUCUCCAAGAUUGUCUACAGCAUUUUCUGAUGCAUUUUCCAAAGCAGAGCAUCAACAAUCUCCCAUUAAAGACUCAGUGAAUGGAAGGGCAGAGCGUCAACAACCUCUUGUUACAGACUAAGUGAAUGAAAGGGCAAAGCGUAAGCAACCUCCUGUUAUAGAUUCAGUGAAUGAAAGGAAAAGGGAGAGAUUUCCUCUUGCAAGAAAGGUAAGAGAUAUUCAGCUGAAAUCAGCUCUUUCUGAUGAUAAUCAGACAACUGUACUUAAGAAACAAGAUGCUAAGAAACCUACUCCUGAUCCAUGUAAGGAAAAUGCUUACUGUUACUUUAUUACUAAAACUAUUUUGAAUAGAUUAAAAUCUUUUGCCACAGAAAGAAUAGAUUUGCUACUUAUUCUUGAUCCUGAGACUAGAGAAAAACCGGAUGUUGGCUCAGAAUUUACAAAUUGUAAACAAAAUGACAGUGUGUUUCUUGAAUCAAACCAAACGCCAUUAGAUGUGACUGUCCCGAAAAUAUCAACAGCUGGAACCAUUGUCCAUCAAGAAGUCACAAAUUACACAUUAGCUAAUUACAGAGAAAACCAUAGACCUGCAAUUCAUAUAUCACAAGCUAGUCUUAAGGAAUAUGCUGACCUCAUCGCCAGUACCAUUUUGACGCUUAUAAAAAAUGACAAAGACCUAGAAAUCCAAAAGAUGUAUACAUAUCAAACAAUACUUCAUUUCAAGAAAACAUCAUUGCAAGUGAAACUGUCAACAACAUCUUAAAGAGUUUAUGUAAUAAAGUAUCUUUGAAGGCAAGUGGCUUUUACUCAAAGCAGGACCCUGAUCUUUUUACCCAACUAGCUGUACAAAAUGAAAUAGUGCCAGGUCAAAGAAAAAUGGAAGACAACACCAAACUGUCUCUCUUUUCAAAAUAGUCAGGUGAAAACCAAAAAACACAAGAAGUGGAAAACCAGAGAAGGACAUUGGAAGAAAUAUUUAGAAAUGGAGAAUCUGGACAGGAAAAAACAAAUUCUUUGUUAAGUGUAGUUAAGGAAAUUUUAAAGAAGGCAUAUCAAAGGGUAUUGGAAAACACAGAACAUUGUUCUCCAUUCAAUGAACUCCCCCACUUUACAUCUGAUUCUAAAAUUAAAACAUCAGCAUGAAAAAAAGCCUUACAGUCACAUAUAAGCAGUGUUGUAAAUGACACAGUUGAAAGUGCUUACACAAAACUGUUCUCAGUAAUUAUGACCUCGUUAUAUGAAAACAGUGAGACCAGAGGAGAAAUGGAAGCCUCUGGCAGUGAUGGAUUACUGAUGAAUCCAUCAUGCUUUAGAGAACUGAAACAAGCAGAAAAAAGCAGUGUUCCCCCUAAACCUGUGAUACCACAAGUUUAUCCUUACACAGGCAUUGGAAGUGUCAGUUCAUUGGAAAACACCUUAUUGCAAUUUUCUCCAUUGCGACUGGGUAAACACUUGGUUCAAAAGGUUCUCAAAAAGAUCACAGAUUUUGCUUUGCUGAAUCUAGAAGAGAAUUCGUCCCCUAAAGGUCAAUCUGAUGAAAUUCUGAGGCCAUGUAAUUCUAAAGCUAGCCCCAAGGGCAGCCCUAGGGCAAGUGUUAAGACAAAUUUUAAAACAAAAUCAAAAGUUAACUCUUUGUCUAAAUUUGGAACAAAACCACAGCUCAGACCUAGUGGAGCUAAAGCCCAAAGCAAAACCAAGUUAGGUCCUAGAGAAAAGACCCUAAAAGGUAGCUGGUCCAAGACUUCCAUUGGGCUCCCACACCUACUGUCAAUAGGGGAGGCCAAAAGUCCCUCACUGAGAGCAAAACUCCCCACUGCAGAGCUAAAAAUGUAUGCCAGGGAUAUACUACGUAAUAUUCUGCAAACAACUGUGAAUGAAUUUGAAGAGGUGAGGCAAAACAGAGCAGUGGCAAAUGUAAACACUUUACUUUCUGAUCAAAUUGAGAGAGCAAGUGGAAUAGUGAGUGCAGUUUUGCAAGGACUACAUGCUAUGAAGAAUAAUUUGGCCAAUCCAAUAAAAGGCUCACAUUCAGAUGAUCUCAAACUUCCACGGGGGGUAUUUUAGUACAACCUCUGCUGCAAAUCCAGAAGCCCAUUUCUCCUUGGAGAAUGUUUCUUCACAACUAGACAAACUCUUUCCCAAAGAAGAUAUUUUUAAACAAAUGUUUGACAAAUGGCAAACAGAAUCAAGCAACAUGGAUAACGAAAAAUAUAAGCUACCAAUGAUAGCCGAGGCUGUUUUGAAUGAAAUUUCAACAAAAGCAAAAGAAUUAAAACUCCAUUUCACUUUUAGGUUUGUCACUUCUUGAGCCAUGUGAAAGCAGUCACCAUCAUUUUAAAAGAGCUGCUUCUAGAGUUGAGGAUUCUCAAGCACAAAUUAAUAUAUUUGGCCAGGAAAUCAUUAAAAAACUAUUUGAAAAAUUAGAGUUGUGCUUCUUGACUCAGAUGUUCACAACGGAUAGUAAAGAAACACUACAAAGCAAGAAAGAAACUGCUGCUAGAAGAAAAUGUGGUUCCUCAUGAACAAUCUUAACGAUGUACCAACUUACAACACAAAGUUGAAAGACAAAACACUGGGGAUCGCUGGCCACCAAAUCACUCAAGAGAUCUUGGAAGGGGUUCUGAACACCUUAGAGUCAUUUGCAGACCUACAGUUUAAACAUGUCUCUACAUAUGCUUUUUCUGAAAUUGUGAGAACACCUAUUGAAAACUUUUUUGCUGUGCAACAGAAACCACCAAUGAAAACAACAUUUCCCAAGUUACAAACACUGACUACGUUUCCUGAUGAAUCUAAACCAAGUAGUAUGAUUUCCCAGGAAAAGAUAAACAACGCCUUCAACAGCUUUAUUUUUUUCCAUUCAGAAUUGCUUACUUAUGCUGUUAAUACUGUUACUGACAUGCUUAGUAUAAUUAAGAACAAACUAGACAAAAAUGCACAAGGAACCAUCUUCAACUAGCAUAUUUGAAGAAAACAUUGUAGCAAGUCAGAUCAUCAGCACACUGAUAAACCAGUGCACUUAUUUCUAUGAGUUGAUGAUCAAAAGCCAUGCAAAGGAAAAUCUGCUCCAAGGAGCUAAAAAUGUCUACAGUGUUAAUUGCUCCCGAUUUACAACUGGACCAGAAAUGUCCACUUCAAAGUCAAAGGGAAUUAGCUGCUGGGAUGAUCCUCCACAAGUCUCCAGCUUGUUGUCUUAUUCAGAGGAAGAUAUGAAAAUAAAGGACAAGACUUCCUUAGAUGUACCUUCAUAUGUCAGAUACUCUACCGGAGAUUCAACUAAAACCAUAGAGCCAAUGGAAGGGCUCGAAUCCGAGUUUAAACCAUCAUCUCCUAGAAGUGAAGCCCAAGCCUUCAGCCAUUUUGAUCAAGCUGUGAAAGGAGACUACUCUCUCCCAGAAGGCACUGUCUUACAAAUUUCAUCUCAGAAAUCCAGUGACUCUGCACAGGCAGCACUAGAGCACCCCAUGUCUUUCAAAGAAGCGGAAGAGGGUGAAAAUCAAAGAGUGCUUCACUAUGAGCCCCUCAAACCAGUUGUUAACCCAGAUGAAAUACAGACUACCAUUUCUUCACUCAAAAUAUGUUUAGCUGCAGAAAAUAUUGUCAAUACCAUGCUGACAAGUUUUGGCCUUUCAAAUCAAACAUCACACACUACUGAAAAUAUGGAAACCAUGAAGCCGUUUUAUAUAUCAAAGGAAAUGCUUCAUUGCCUAACAUCUGAACAACUAAAGAAUGAGAAAAGCCUACUUAAAAUAUGGGGAAAAAGAAACAGCUAUGGAACUGAAGAAGAAAACAAAGGCCUUGUGGCAAGUGGAGAAGAUUCCAUUUUACUGGAAAAGUGGAAAAAUAAGUACCUGAAGUUAGAGAAAACUCUUGAAGAGCCUGGAGUCAUUGAUUUUGCUGAUUGGGAACUGGGACCACAUGAAGUCCACCUAGUAGCAAGAUAUGUUACUACAUCAGUGGUCACACAUUUCAACAACUUUGAAACCAAAGGUCCUGUUGAUGAAAAAGUAUCUAUUAGUUCCACACUACUAAGCAAAAAAUAUGAAUCAAAACAGCCUCUAAGAAGCAUCAACACUGAUUCUUCACUUAAUCAAUUUUGUGAACAUCUCACUGAACUGGUUAUUUCCUAUAUAAUUUCAAGCAUUUCUGAUUGUACCAAAGAUGGUGAAACAAAACAGAAAUCACUAAGAAAUGAAGACACAACUUAUAGCGAGGUUAUUUUAAUUCAUUCCCAAGUGUUUGAGCAUCGGUCAAUUUCUAUCAGAGGACUUGCUUUAAGCAUUUCUGAGGUCAUUAUUCAAAUCCUUUUAAAUAGUGACAUUUUAAAGGGAGAUGUUACAAAAGUGGUUUCUAUGAAAGCAAAAUAUAUUUAUUGCCCAAAAGCAGCUGUGGCUGAUUUCAGUGAUCUCUUUCAGGAUCUCUUAAUAGGAGUGAUCCAUGUUCUGUCCAAAGAAAUAGGAAUAAAUCAUCACCUUGACAGGAAAGGAAAAAACAAAUCACUCUCCACACCUAAAAGCCAUAGUUUGCUCAAUUGCAACAAAGCGAAAACUAUGAAAAGACAGAUACAUGCCAAAGGUUGGAAAUCAGCUCCUACUCACCAACUUAAUCAACUAAUACAGAAAGGUAAACUAAAUUCUCUAGCAUGUAAGUUAAACACUCUGGUUGGCAGCCUAAGAUCUCCUGAAUCCAAAGAAGUAGUCAACAAAAUUUUCAAUAUUGUUUUUGAUUUGUUUUUGCCAGAUGAAUGCCCAAAUUGGGAUACAGAUUCUGGUAAAACAGCAAGAAAAAAGUUCCUAUCUUCAAAUAACCCACAAAGUCAUAGAAUUCCUAGAAAUAACCUAGGGCUCUCCCCUAAAUCAGCUUUUCUUCUGAAUGUUGUGUGUGAGAAACUUAUUAGAAUGCUUUUGGGAAAAUGUACAACCAACAACUUUCUUACAAAUAGUCCUCUUUCUGACAAAAUAUCAAUAGAAGGUCAACUGUUCAACACACUUCAAAAUAUAGAUGAUUAUUCCAGUUUAACAAUGGACUAUGGCUUACCAUUUGAGGAAUAUGAUAUGUCAGACCUUUUUGAAAAUUUGGCAGAAAUAGAUCAAGAGUCUAUGCUUAGUAUUAUUUCCCAUAGCUUGGUAAAAUCCUUAAUGGAAAAAUUGUCAUGCGGUAUACAGCAACCUCCCAGAAGUCCACCAGUUACAGACAAACAUUUAACAUACAGGACAAGCGAGAGACUUCCCAGUUUCCCCAAAGCAAAAAGGCCAGAAUUAAAAGAAUCAAAACAGGGUAAAAACUCUGUGCGAUUCAUGAGUUAUGAUAGCAAACCUCUGACAGGACCAUCAGAUGAUCUUAGGGUGAUUCAUUCCAAGAUGCAAACCCCAUUCAGUAAGCAAUUUUCAGGAAAAUUCCCGUCUCUUCAAAGACCAGAUAAAAAGGCAACAGCCUUUCUUAACAUACAAUAUCCAGGAGGCAUGAACACGGGCGUGUACUCUGCCACAUUUCUGGAGGAAGUAAUUGUGGACAUUUUUCUUAAUCUCACCACCUCAUUGCAAGGCAAAAAUGUGAAUAUCACUGAAGCCCAGCUUAAUGAGAUGAAUAUAUUAGAUAUCAACUGCGUGGUGAAUGAGUUUAAUACUGCUCAAGUCACUGUUUUACGGGACAUUGAAGAAAAGAUGUGUUUUCCACCGGUCUAUAAAGAAACUGUUAGUAAGAUUGGUAACUCCAUUUAUAAUGAUGUAUCAUGGGACUACACAUUGCAAGUUACCUGUAGUGAUCAUCUGGCAUAUGCUGCCAUGUCAAUAGCAGAACAGAUAACUAGUGGCAUAUUGAAAGAGAGUAUAGACUACCAGCUCCCAUUGUGCUUUAUAAGAAAGCUCAUGCCUAAUUCAUAUCACCCUCUCAAAGCUGAAAAUAUACUACUGAAACUUCAAAACAACCUAAGUGAACUUAAUUACCAAAGUCAACAUUCAACAGGCUAUAUCACUAUGCUCUCCUACUCAUUUUUAGCAGAUGUCAUCAGAAGACUAUUAUCUCAGCUCAUUCUUCCACCCAUAGAGGCUUCAUGCUUAGGAAAUAAAUACCUAAAGACAUUAGAUUUUAAUGAAGUAUCCACCUGUAUAAUAAAUAAAGUUUUGUUAGCCAUUUCAAAGCAUAAAAUUUGGCUCACUAAAUAUGAUUGUCAAUGUGUAUAUACAGAACAAAACCUUCAAAAUAUGGUGGAGUCUAUUUAUAAUAAUAUUUUGCAGAUGUCUGACUCACUUGCGUCAAUACAGAAAAGCAUAGAAAGCCAAAGUCCAAUUAUGGUUGACCGAAUGGCCGGUCUUAUUAUUCAAGAGAUUAUUGAAAAUCAUCUUCAACCCUUUUUGUGUGAAGAGAGCUUACCUCAUUCAAUGUCUCCAUUGGAUGAAAUAUCAAAUAUGGUUAAAGAGGUUCUCGGUGAAGUCACAGGGUCACACAGACCCCAGAAGUCAUCAUCACUAGGUAUAAGCUUUUAUCCUAAUGCAUUUGUAGAAGAAAUUGUUGCCAGACUAUUAUCAAAGGUCUUCAAUCCAAAAUAUAACAUGGAGUGUGAUUUGGAUAAAAUGACCUCAAAAAUAGUAAACUCAAUAAACAACCAUUUUAAGAAGGCUAAAAUCUGUGUUCUUCGUGAUGACCAAGAGCAGCCAUUCCCCACUGUCGAUACAGACACCAUGGAUGAACUUGUCAAUUCAGUUUAUAAGAAUGUUCUGAAACAGCAUGGGCUGGCUGUUGAUAGUAAAGAACUCAAAGACAGUGAUAUUUUUGCAGAAAAUAUCACCAAUUUAAUUGUAGCAGCUAUAUCUGAUUAUCUUUUUCAUCCGCUGUUUUCUGGAGAUUUGUCAGCUUCUUCCUACACUAUUUUGACAGCAGAGAACAUAAUUCAGAACAUCUUUAGAGGCAUCACUAAACCUACCCAGCCAAGCCAGCAUUUAUCACCAUAUAACACUUUGCUGCCAUACACAUUUUUAGAAGAAAUAAUCAGAGAAUUAUUAUCUAGAAUCUUUCCUUCUGCAUCUAACAUGGUUCCAUACAGCAAAACUCCAAAAGAUAGAUCAGAAAGUAAUCACAGUGAAAUCUCUUCAAAGUUAAUCAGUGAUAUUAGAAUGAAAAUUUCUCAACAUGAGAUUCGAUUUUCAAAAGAUGAAGAUGAAACUGAAUCUGUUUAUUCAGAGGAUGAUGUUCAGUGUCUCGUUGAUUCCACAUUCAGAAAUAUCGGGCAAAACUCUGGGUCUGAAGAAGCAGUUGAGCACGAUAUCACAAGCAGUGACAAUGUUUUUAUUGAUAGAAUAGCAAGUUUUAUCAUUAAAAAUAUUUGCCAACAACAUCUUCAUCCAUUUUUGUACGGAAAGUUGUCAUUUACUUCAUCAUAUAGAUACUUUGAUAGUACAAGAAGAAGACAUUCUUUUUUUGCCCGUGUUUACUCCUCAGCCUUUUUGGAAGAUGUGAUCUCUGGAGUUUUAAGUAAAAUAUUCCACAGAGCAUUAGGUAUUGUACAAACAAAAUCACUAAGAGAUUCAGAAAAAGAACUGUUGGAAACAGCCAAAAAAUUCAUAUAUUUGAUAACGGAAGAAUUCUCAAAAGUUCAAGUUAGUACCCUAGAAAAUGCUGAGGAACAAUUGUGUUUGCCACCAGUAGAUAGAGACACAGUGAUAAAAAUUAUCAAUGCAGCAUAUAGCAAAGUUUUACAGGAAUAUGAACUGGAACCUAAUAAGGACUUUUUCAGUGACACCAAGACACUGGCUGAGAGGCUUACUAAAAUUAUCCUGGCUGAAGUUUUUGAUUUCCAAAUUCCUCCAUAUUUCAUAGCAAAGCUACCUUUCAAAUCAUAUUCAAAACUCAAUGCUGAUGUUUUGAUAAAGAGAGUUCAUUACACAAUCAAUACAUCAAGCCUCCGAAGACAGACUUGUACAACAUAUACCACCAUAUUGUCACAUACACAUUUGGAAAAAAUAGUAACUCAGGUUUUAUCUCAGAUAAGUCUAUUGAACUGCAAUGCAGAAGACCCAUACUUUUUGCAGUCAGACUUCAACAACACAGUUGUGAGUCUGAUUGAUGAAAUCAUGUCAAUAAUUUCUAAACAUGCAAUAUGCAUCAUUAAAGAUGGAAAUGAAAAUAAAAAUGUAAUUUCAGAAAACAGUAUCCAGGCUAUGGUUGAUGCCAUUUUUACUGCCAUUUCUCAUUCAAAGCUAUACCAGUCUGUUUCAAAAGAUAAAAAAGGCAUAAGUAAUAUACCUGUAACAAAAAUAGCAAGUUAUAUAAUAAGGGAAAUAUUUAACCAUCAUCUUGAGUCAUUUUUACCUGGAGAUAAAACUCUUCCUUGUACAGUGGAGCAAAUUUAUCAGCAGAGAGCAAUAGAUCCUAAACAAAGAGAAUUAUCCUUCAUCGUGAAUUCAGCUGUCUUUUUGGAGGAAGUAAUUUCUGAGCUUUUAUGCAAAAUUCUUUGUAUAUUCUCAUAUGUCUUGGCUACUGAAAAUCCAUGUAAAGCAAAAGCCAAUGUUACAGAUAUUGUUACAAGAUUAGUAAAAUCAAUUGUGCUGGAAUUCACCACUUCACAAAUUUUAGUUGCAGAUCACUUGCAUGAAAAUCUCUAUUUUUCAGAAGGAUACAAAGAAAUGGUUAGAAAAACUGUUAGCAUUAUUUAUGAAAAAAUAUUAGAUGAUUAUCAAUCUCUGUUUCAUAUUUAUAGAGCUAUACAAAAUGAUGCUGUUGGUUUUGGGGAAAAAAUAUAUCAUCUUCUGUUAGAAGAAAUUUAUGAUUAUCAGGUGGAGUCAUUAGUUUUAGGAAAAUUAGAAACUUCUUCCUAUUCCUCCCUCCAAGAGAAGAAUAUCAUCAGAAAUGUACUCAAUGCCAUCAACAAUGAUAGCCAUGACUUGCCAUCAUGCAUUACUGUAUUGCCUCGUUCCCUUUUAGAAAAUAUGACUUACAAGCUUCUGACACGUAUGUUUCCUUCACCUGAGACUCAAAUAGAACCAAACGAGGAAGAGGUGCCACCAGAUUAUGAGUUUGUGAAUACAGCUUCAAAACUAACUGAUGAUAUUAUAACAGAAAUUUCUGAACAUGAGAUUAGACUUGCCGAGGCAGAGGAACAUGUGGAAAAUUUGCAAUUAGGGGCAAUUGAUGACUUUGUUGACUCUAUAUGUAACAAUAUUAUUAAAAAAAUUAAGUUUGAAGAUGAAGUGCAGAAAGAUGCAUACAAAAGAGGAGGCUCAUUCCUUGGGAGAAUAGCUGGUUUCAUUAUGAAGGAAAUUGUGGACCACCAUCUGCAACCAUUUCUAUGUGAUGAAAAAUCAUUUCCCAGUGACUUACCCAGAAAUGAUGAUGUCAUUGAACUCUUGAAUCCCAUUAAAGAAAAAAUACAGUCCUUGCCCCAGACUUCUGUAUACUCUGCUACAUUUUUGGAAGAUGUCAUCUUUGACCUUGUUCGCAAAUUUUAUACUCUACCAAGAAUUGCUGAAAAUCCUAAGGACAAAGAGAUAUCGGAAAGAAGUAUGGGCCUGGCUAUUAAAUUUGCAAAUGUUCUGAUAGGGGAAUUUAGGAAAAGCGAAAUUAAAGUUCUAACAAAUGCUGAAAAAACGUUUGCAUUUCCACCAGUAGAUAAAGAAACAGUUGAUAAAGUAUGUGAUUCUGUGUAUGAUGAGGUGACAGAAAUAUAUGGAUCUAAAAAUGUUCAGAAACAUGAUAGAAGUAACAUUGUUAUAGAGAUGGUUGCUGCUUUAACUAAGAAGGCAAUCUCUGCUUUCAAGAUUCAGCCACUUUUUUCAGGAGGCCGGUCUUCCACCUUGUUUUCAUAUCUAGAUGUGGAUAGCAUCAUGCAAAGAAUUCAACACCUACCAUAUAAAACCUUUACAAAGAUAAACAGAAGCUUGAAGGAGAACCCAGUUUCUUCACUAGAACAGUUAUCUACACGUAUUCCCCUAAGCUCAGACCUGAAAAACAAAAUGGACACUUUGGAAAUAGACAGCAGAGCAGUUAAUGGAAAAGAGAACUUCAAAAAGAAGACAUCAAUGAAAACAGGCAGCAGCCAGCAGCCAAUAUGUAUUAAUAUAAGUAGUAUUAUGAAGAGCAAAGUAACUACCAUAGCAUUAGAGUCAGUUGGAGGUAUGGCAAAGAAAAAGAAAGGGGAUGAAAAGAAAAAGGAAACUUCAAUUGGAAAAGAUGAGAACGUAUCAAAACUUACUUCAACGACAACCAGUGUGAAAAGUAAAGAUACUCCGGGGCCAGAUUUGGGUACAGCAUUUACAAAGAAUGAAAUCAAGAAGAAAGACCACGUGUCUAGAAGAGAUGAGAAAGGGCGAGGUGAUGAGCUAUAUCAACAUCUUUCACCAGCUAUUGAUGAUACAAAAAACAAAGUUGUCCUGAAACCAAGUUUUGAAAUAUGUGGUAAAAAGAAGUGUGACAAGAAAAAAGGAAACAAAGUUGUCCUGAAACCAAGUUUUGAAAUAUGUGGUAAAAAGAAGUGUGACAAGAAAAAAGGAAGUUCAUUAGGAAAAGGGGAUAUACCUCUUGAAUUACCAUCUCUGACAUCCAAGGUGAGAAAUACAGAGAUCCAAAAAAAGAGGAGGGAUUCUCCAGCUUACCCAGCUACAAAUGGCAAACAGAUCUUACAUUCUAAACAUGCCCAAAAUGUCCCUGUAAGCAUUUACAGAAAUGUUUUAGAAACAUCAUCUCUCCAAGGACCAGUGGAUGAUUUAAAUUACCCAAGCCUCCUAGGUGAAAACGCAGCAUAUGUAACUCAAGCUUGUGGCAAGGAUUUUGCCCAGCAUGCCUCAGUGAAUUCAGCUAAACAAAAUGCUCCUGCAAAAGAGGAAGAGAAUGAGAUCCAAAGGCAACCUCGUAAAUGGGACAAUCCUCAGAACCUACUAGAAAAUAAAUCCAGGAUUUUCCCUGCUAACUUUUUAGAGGAUGUUAUCUUUGAAAUAGUUAACAAAUUGAUUUUUUCUUCUUCACUGGAUACAUAUGAUGCAUGUCAAAAUGUAACCAAUGAUGUAAAUCCAGCUGAGCUCUAUGGCAUGGCUAUGAAACUGAUUGAUUCCCUGUUAAAGGAGUUUUCAGAUGCUCAAAUUAAAGUAUUAAACCCAGAUCAAGGAAUUAAGUUCCUUCCAUCAGAGGAUAACGUUUCAGCAGUUCAUAAAGCACCUCUCAGGCAAAAAGAACUGUCUGUGGUUAAAAGACCUUCCAAGAAAAAGAUAAUUAUGGAUAAUAUACCACCCAUACAUAACAUGGUACCUACAACUAAAGUACCUUCUUCAGGUCAGACACCUUUUAUGGCUAAAAUACCAUCAAUUGAUAAAAUGUUGGUCAAUAAGAUUGUUCACUCCUCUAUAUGCAAUAUCUUACAGGAUUAUAGAUCUCAGGACUCCAUCUGUGAGGACAUAAAUUUUAAUGUUGAAAAAUUAGCAAAAAGGCUAGCUAAUGCAGUAAUAGAAGAAAUUCUUCAGUAUCAGCUAAACUUGCUAUUUUAUGAUGAGGGUUCAGAUCCAGAAUGUUUGCCUCUAGAAUCUAAGAAGGUUAUGAAAAAGGUCCAUAAAGUGGCCCAGACAGCCUGCAAAGAAUGUCAGACAUCAUCACCAUAUACCAUAAUGCUGCCUUAUGAAUUUGUAGAAAGGAUAAUUUCUUCUCUUCUAUCAAGAAUUUUCUCAGCAGUAGCCAAUGCUAAAACAGAAAUGUCUGAGGAUAAUUUGUACACAGAGUUAGAUUUCCUUCAAAUGAAGUUAGCAAGUACAGUUAAAACAGAGAUCUCCAAAGAUGAAGAUAUGAUUAUACAGUAUGUAAAAUCCUUACAUCCUAAUGAUGAUGAAAUUAUUCAGUUAGUGGUUCAAACUGUUUAUAAUAAUCUCUUGCCUCAAUUUGGAUCUCAAGAGAGCAUACGAAAGUGUAUUAGCAGUGGUUGCAAAAUCCUUUUAGAAGCCAUAGUUAAUUUAGUUGUACAGGAAGUGACUGGAAAUCAGUUACAAAACUAUUUUUCUGGAGAACUAACACCACUUCAGUGUACAGAAAUUGAUAGUACUAUUGACAAUAUCCUUAGAGGUGUUACCCAAACUAGUGAAGUUCCCCAGCCUCAACCAUCCCGGGCUUACAAACUGCCUUUUAACAUAAUAGAAGAAAUUGCUGUCAAGUUUUUGUCAAAGCUUCUAUCUAUGUUUCCAAAAGCAGAUAAGGAACAAAACAAUUUUCUGAACGCUGAAAUGCAAAAAAUAAGCUCAAAAAUCUUGAGUUCAUUUCAACAAUAUAUCUCUCAAAGUCAUAUUACAGUAGUGCCACAGGUCAAAGAGUCCUCCACUGUGUCUUUAACAGACAGUGCAACUAUUGAAAAAGUCGUUACUUCUGUUUAUAGCACUGUUCUAAAGCACUCUGGCUCCCAUAUUUCAGUGUACAAAGAUUUAAUGGGGAAGAGCAAUGUCCUUUCUGACAUAAUAGGAUUUUUAAUGGUGAAGGAAAUUUCCAAUUCAGAAUUUCAUCCUCAAGAACAGGAAGAAACAUCAAGUUCAGAGUUAGUUCUAGAACCCGUCAAAAUUAUGGAAAAGGUGGCUAAGAUUAUUGAUGAUCUGAAGUCAAAUAAAAAGUCUCCAACCAAAAAAGAGGCUGUAUUAGAUGCCAGGUUUUUAGAGGAAACACUUGCCUUGUUCUUGGCUAAACUAGUCAAGUUGCCAAGUGCCUCAAGCAAAGAUGCUGAAAACUUAUCAAAGCCUGAGUUAAAUAAAAUUGCAUCUCAAUUGACAAAAUCCGUGACAGCUGAAAUUUCCAGGAAAAACAUUCGUAUUGUAGCUGCCAAUCCUGAAGAAUACUUUUUAAAUCCAGAAAGCAUAGAAAUUAUUUCUCAGAUGGUUGAUUCUGUUUAUAAUUGUGUACUACAACAAUCUGGAACACAUGAAGAACUUUAUCAUGAUAUGAAAGAUACAAACUACAUCUUUCCUAAAGAAAUGGCUUCUUUAAUUAUCAGGAAAGUUUCCAGUUGUCCAUUAGCAAUGAUUAGCUCAGGAGAUCCAUGUGCUAAUCUCUUUGGUGAUUUGGACAUUGAUCGAAUUGUUGAAAAGGUGCAUGAGCGUGCUAUCAAAAUAGAACCUGGACUAGAGCAAAAAGGGUUAGAUCAAGGUUUAAGGCAAGAGGAGCUUUCGGUUAGGAUAAUUCCUCACCUUGGCAAAGAACCAAUUAAUAUUGAUCCCGACAUUGUUGCAGAGCACUUAGGGGUCAUUUCUAUAAAAACACAGUCUCUUGAGAAGCUGCAGACUGAGUGUUUAGCUAGAACUGGACACAGCAUUGAAACACUGAGAAGAGCAUCAAUAAAUGGGAAGAGUUACUCAACUGAGAUACCUGCUGCGGGAAACAGAAAGAAAGAAAAACGCAUUUAUUUGGAUCAGAUGGGACGACUGAAUGUAAAGCCUUUAGAGACUUCUAGUAGAAAUUCAUUUCAGAGCUUAAUAAAGCCCGACAUCACCAAAGUGGAGCUUUUAAAAGAUGUUCAAAGCAAAAAAGAUCUUAUCAUUCGGUUAAUCAUUCGGUCAAUAAUUCAA